rnacentral:rRNA from 1 species
AACGAACGCUGGCGGCGUGGAUAAGACAUGCAAGUCGAACGGGAACAUUUUGGUUUACUAGAAUGUUUUAGUGGCGCACGGGUGAGUAACGCGUGAGUAACCUGCCCAAUAGUGGGGGAUAGCCCUGGGAAACUGGGAUUAAUACCGCAUAAUAUCGCAAGAUUAAAGGAGUAAUUCGCUAUUGGAGGGGCUCGCGUCCUAUUAGUUAGUUGGUGAGGUAACGGCUCACCAAGGCGAUGACGGGUAGCCGGUCUGAGAGGAUGUCCGGCCACACUGGAACUGAGACACGGUCCAGACACCUACGGGUGGCAGCAGUCGAGAAUCAUUCACAAUGGGGGAAACCCUGAUGGUGCGACGCCGCGUGAGGGAAGAAGGUCUUCGGAUUGUAAACCUCUGUCAUGUGGGAGCAAGCAGCAAUGUUGAUAGUACCACAAGAGGAAGAGACGGCUAACUCUGUGCCAGCAGCCGCCGUAA